rnacentral:ncRNA from 2 species
AAUCCUAUCCAGGAUUGGGGGCGUGACAGUGUGGUCGCAAGGCUGAAACUUAAAGGAAUUGAUGGAAGGGCACCACCAGGAGUGGAGCCUGCAGCUUAAUUUGACUCAGCACGGGACCAGGUCCAGACAUAGUAAGGAUUUACAGACUGAGAGCUCUUUCUUGAUUCUAUGGGUGGUGGUGCAUGGCCGUUCUUAGUUGGUGGAGCGAUUCGUCUGGUUAAUUCCGUUAAAGAAUGAGACCUCAGCCUGCUAACUAGCUUCGUGGAGGCAUCCCUUCACGGCCGGCUUCUUAGAGGGACUAUGACCUUUAGGGCAAGGAAGUUUGAGGCAAUAACAAGUCUGUGAUGCCCUUAGAUUUUUUGGGCCGCACACGCGCUACACUGAUGUAUUCAACGAGUUAACACCUUGGCCGACAGGCCCGGAUAAUCUUUAAAAUUUCAUCGUGAUGGGGAUAGAUCAUUGCAAUUGUUGGUCUUCAACGAGGAAAUCCUAGUAAGCGCGAGUCAUCAGCUCGCGUUGACUAAGUCCCUGCCCUUUGUACACACCACCCAUCGCUCCUACCGAUUGAAUGAUCCGGUGAAGUGUUCGGAUCGCGGCGACGUGGGCGGUUUGCCGUCUGCGACAUCACGAGAAGUCCACUAAACCUUAUCAUUUAGAGGAAGGAAAAUUCGUAACAAGGUUUCCCGUAGGUGAACCUGCGGAAGGAUCAUUG